UACAGAGGGUGCAAGCGUUGUUCGGAAUUAUUGGGCGUAAAGCGCGUGUAGGCGGCUUUGCAAGUCAUGUGUGAAAUCCCUCGGCUCAACCGGGGAACGACGCAUGAAACUGGCAAGCUAGAGUACCAAAGAGGGGGGUGGAAUUCCCGGUGUAGCGGUGAAAUGCGUAGAUAUCGAGAGGAACAUCGGUGGCGAAGGCGGCCAUCUGGACGGUGACUGACGCUGAGACGCGAAAGCGUGGGGAGCAAACAGG
rnacentral:rRNA from 1 species